GUGCUGUUAAAACUUGCUCUGUUUAUCAUUAACGACGAGCCUUUGUAAUUUUUUCAUAAUUUUGUCUAAAAGAAAAUAAAAAAUGCGUUAUUUAGUUGUAUAAUUCAUUUAUAAGAAAUAUUCUUUUUCUUUGUAUCUAGCCACGAUUUCCGGUUCCCGCCAUUUCGCGCCGGCGUCGUGGAUGUUUGGAUGCAACGUAGUGCUCCCGGUUUUAUUUUGUUUAAGCGACCUUUUCUGAAGUGUCAGCCAAGGAUCAAACACUGGUCGUUGCGGGGAUCGGCUUCAGAGGGUCAAGGAUGGCGUCUUGAAUCUCAGUCGACAGGCAAUUGUAUGACAACGCCAUCCCUGUCAACCAGAGCGUCGACCGAAGUAGGGCGGCGUUGCGCGGACCUGGCCGCACCCGACCAACCGGUGGAGUACCUGACUCGGGCUGGGCGGAGACUACCUACAUCACGACCUUUUGAACUUUGAUCUCGUGGCGAGAAACAAUAUGACGUAAGGAAGUGUGUAUGUGGCUGGCGGGGCCGAGGGUGAAAUGCGCCACGUGUUUAUCCUGCCGGAUGACGACAGCGUCACCAACCUGUCAAAGAACGAGCUGGUGCAGCGCGUGAUGACUGCUAUCUCGUCCCUAGAACCGGAGUAGAAAAAC